ensembl:misc_RNA Metazoa_SRP Metazoan signal recognition particle RNA
GCCGGGCAUGGUGGUGGGUGCCUGUAAUCUCAGCUACUCGGGAGGUUGAGGCAGGAGAAUCACUUGAACCCAGGAGGUAGAGGUUGCAGUGAGCCAAGAUUGUGCCACUGCACCCCAGCCUGGGUAACAGAGUGAGACCCUGUCUCAA